GGGCCCUUAGCUUAAUGGUAGAGCACCCGGUUUGCAUCCGGGAGAUAGGAGUUCGAUUCUCCUAGGGUCCACCA
rnacentral:tRNA from 1 species